AUCUCACUUUAAUAGAUCUUUUUGUCUGUCCAUAAUAUUUUGCAUGCAAAAUAUUUUUUUAUAUGGUGCAUUCAUGUGCGGCUCUUAAUUGUACAGCCAGAUACACAAAAACAGAUGUCACAUUGAAGUUUCAUAGGUUCCCAAAGGAUUAAGUGAUGAGAAAAAAGUGGUUGAAAGUUUUGAGAAGAAAGAACUAUAAUCCGUUUAGAUUUACCAGACUUUGUAGCAAUCACUUCAAAGAAAAUGACUAUUACUUGAAUGAAAUGAUUUUCAACCCAAAUAUUCUUCACAAAACAUAUCUGAAGAUAGUGAUGUUGCUGAAGGGGAACAAUACUAGAUGGAGCAACAUGAAACUUUUUUCAACAAAGUGGAACUUGAAACAAUGUUUCGAUAAAAAUUAACAUUAUUUGUCAGUGCUAUGGGAAAAUGGUUCAUUCCUCAAGAAAUGAAGCCUCUUUCAACAAAUUCACAUGAUAUUUCGUUAGCAAAAUAGAGCGAAAUAGAGGAAGGUGAAAGUUCCCACAACGAUCUUUGAUCUUCUUCACAAAAAUGACGUGUUCAAUAUUUGAAAUAUUAAUGUUUUGUAGUAUAUUCGUUUAUUCAAAAAAAUAGAAUAGAACUGAGUUCUAUUUAGCUAGGGACCUACGAAAAACGUUACUAUAUUUAGUAGUAUUAAACACAGAA